rnacentral:rRNA from 1 species
GACGCCGCGUGGGGGAUGAAGGCCUUUGGGUUGUAAACCCUAGUCUCGAGUGAAGAACAGCGUGGGCGAUAACAUCAACCGCGUUUGACGUUAACUCGAAAGAAGCACCGGCUAACUACGUGCCAGCACCUGCGGUGACUGAGCGGGCUGGCAAGGCGCAUA